rnacentral:rRNA from 1 species
CCUACGGGUGGCAGCAGUGGGGAAUAUUGCGCAAUGGGGGCAACCCUGACGCAGCAACGCCGCGUGAUUGAAGAAGGCCUUCGGGUUGUAAAGAUCUUUAAUCGGGGACGAAUUUUGCGGUUCCCCGAAGACUAAGCUCCGGCUAACUACGUGCCAGCAGCCGCGGUAAGCCGUAGGGAGCAAGCGUUAUCCGGAUUUCCUGGGUGUAAAGGGCGUGUAGGCGGGCAGGCAAGCCAGAAGUGAAAUCUGGGGGCUUAACCCCCAAACUGCUUUUGGAACUGGGUGUCUGGAGUGAUGGAGAGGCAGGCGGAAUUCCCAGUGUAGCGGUGAAAUGCGUAGAUAUUGGGAGGAACACCAGUGGCGAAGGCGGCCUGCUGGACAGUAACUGACGCUGAGGCGCGAAAGCGUGGGGAGCAAACAGGAUUAGAUACCCCGGUAGUC